GCGGCGGCACGUAGGACGGAUCUCUUGGAUUUACCUGUAACGAGGAGCGGCGCACCCCAGGAGCCCCGGCAGCACCCCAGGAGCCCCGGCAGCACCCCAGGAGCCCCGGC
rnacentral:lncRNA from 1 species